rnacentral:rRNA from 1 species
UACGUAGGGUGCGAGCGUUGCCCGGAUUUAUUGGGCGUAAAGGGCGCGCAGGCGGCCACGCACGUCCGUUGUGAAAUCGCCCGGCUCAACUGGGCGGGGUCAGCGGAUACGGCGCGGCUGGAGCAAGCUAGGGGGCAAUGGAACUCCCGGUGUAGUGGUGGAAUGCGUAGAUAUCGGGAAGAACACCAGUGGCGAAGGCGGUUGCCUGGAGCUUUUGGCUG